GAUGAACGCUGGCGGUAUGCUUAACACAUGCAAGUCGAACGGACUCUUCGGAGUUAGUGGCGGACGGGUGAGUAACGCGUGAGAAUCUGGCUUUGGGUUCGGGACAACCACUGGAAACGGUGGCUAAUACCGGAUGUGCCGAGAGGUAAAAGAGAAAUUGCCUGAAGAUGAGCUCGCGUCUGAUUAGCUAGUUGGUGAGGUAAAGGCUCACCAAGGCAGCGAUCAGUAGCUGGUCUGAGGGGAUGACCAGCCACACUGGGACUGAGACACGGCCCAGACUCCUACGGGAGGCAGCAGUGGGGAAUUGUACGAAAUGGGCGAAAGCCUGACGGAGCAAUACCGCGUGAGGGAAGAAGGCUCUUGGGUUGUAAACCUCUUUUCUUAGGGAAGAACAAAAUGACGGUACCUAAGGAAUCAGCAUCGGCUAACUCCGUG
rnacentral:rRNA from 1 species